rnacentral:rRNA from 1 species
ACGCUCGACACCUACGGGAGGCAGCAGUUAGGAAUAUUGGGCAAUGGAGGAAACUCUGACCCAGCAACGCCGCGUGAAGGAAGAAGGUUUUCGGAUUGUAAACUUCUGAUCUAGGGGAAGAAGGAAGUGACGGUACCCUAGGAGAAAGCCACGGCUAACUACGUGCCAACAGCCGCGGUAAUCUGAGCGGGCUGGCAAGGC